CAUCAGCCGCGGGAAUACGUAGGUGGCAAGCGUUGUCCGGAAUUAUUGGGCGUAAAGGGCUCGCAGGCGGUUUCUUAAGUCUGAUGUGAAAGCCCCCGGCUCAACCGGGGAGGGUCAUUGGAAACUGGGAAACUUGAGUGCAGAAGAGGAGAGUGGAAUUCCACGUGUAGCGGUGAAAUGCGUAGAGAUGUGGAGGAACACCAGUGGCGAAGGCGACUCUCUGGUCUGUAACUGACGCUGAGGAGCGAAAGCGUGGGGAGCAAACAGGAUUAGAUACCCCAGUAGUCCCUAUCUCUUAUAC
rnacentral:rRNA from 1 species